AGAGUUUGAUCAUGGCUCAGAUUGAACGCUGGCGGCAUGCCUUACACAUGCAAGUCGAACGGCAGCACGGGGGCAACCCUGGUGGCGAGUGGCGAACGGGUGAGUAAUACAUCGGAACGUGUCCUGUAGUGGGGGAUAGCCCGGCGAAAGCCGGAUUAAUACCGCAUACGCUCUACGGAGGAAAGGGGGGGAUCUUAGGACCUCCCGCUACAGGGGCGGCCGAUGGCAGAUUAGCUAGUUGGUGGGGUAAAGGCCUACCAAGGCGACGAUCUGUAGCUGGUCUGAGAGGACGACCAGCCACACUGGGACUGAGACACGGCCCAGACUCCUACGGGAGGCAGCAGUGGGGAAUUUUGGACAAUGGGGGCAACCCUGAUCCAGCAAUGGCCGCGUGUGUGAAGAAGGCCUUCGGGUUGUAAAGCACUUUUGUCCGGAAAGAAAACGCCGUGGUUAAUACCCGUGGCGGAUGACGGUACCGGAAGAAUAAGCACCGGCUAACUACGUGCCAGCAGCCGCGGUAAUACGUAGGGUGCAAGCGUUAAUCGGAAUUACUGGGCGUAAAGCGUGCGCAGGCGGUCCGCUAAGACAGAUGUGAAAUCCCCGGGCUUAACCUGGGAACUGCAUUUGUGACUGGCGGGCUAGAGUAUGGCAGAGGGGGGUAGAAUUCCACGUGUAGCAGUGAAAUGCGUAGAGAUGUGGAGGAAUACCGAUGGCGAAGGCAGCCCC
rnacentral:rRNA from 1 species